rnacentral:rRNA from 1 species
AUUGUGAGCUCGAUGAGUAGGGCGGGACACGUGGUAUCCUGUCUGAAUAUGGGGGGACCAUCCUCCAAGGCUAAAUACUCCUGACUGACCGAUAGUGAACCAGUACCGUGAGGGAAAGGCGAAAAGAACCCCGGCGAGGGGAGUGAAAAAGAACCUGAAACCGUGUACGUACAAGCAGUGGGAGCACGCUUAGGCGUGUGACUGCGUACCUUUUGUAUAAUGGGUCAGCGACUUAUAUUCUGUAGCAAGGUUAACCGAAUAGGGGAGCCGAAGGGAAACCGAGUCUUAACUGGGCGUUAAGUUGCAGGGUAUAGACCCGAAACCCGGUGAUCUAGCCAUGGGCAGGUUGAAGGUUGGGUAACACUAACUGGAGGACCGAACCGACUAAUGUUGAAAAAUUAGCGGAUGACUUGUGGCUGGGGGUGAAAGGCCAAUCAAACCGGGAGAUAGCUGGUUCUCCCCGAAAGCUAUUUAGGUAGCGCCUCGUGAAUUCAUCUCCGGGGGUAGAGCACUGUUUCGGCAAGGGGGUCAUCCCGACUUACCAACCCGAUGCAAACUGCGAAUACCGGAGAAUGUUAUCACGGGAGACACACGGCGGGUGCUAACGUCCGUCGUGAAGAGGGAAACAACCCAGACCGCCAGCUAAGGUCCCAAAGUCAUGGUUAAGUGGGAAACGAUGUGGGAAGGCCCAGACAGCCAGGAUGUUGGCUUAGAAGCAGCCAUCAUUUAAAGAAAGCGUAAUAGCUCACUGGUCGAGUCGGCCUGCGCGGAAGAUGUAACGGGGCUAAACCAUGCACCGAAGCUGCGGCAGCGACGCUGAUGCGUUGUUGGGUAGGGGAGCGUUCUGUAAGCCUGUGAAGGUGUGCUGUGAGGCAUGCUGGAGGUAUCAGAAGUGCGAAUGCUGACAUAAGUAACGAUAAAGCGGGUGAAAAGCCCGCUCGCCGGAAGACCAAGGGUUCCUGUCCAACGUUAAUCGGGGCAGGGUGAGUCGACCCCUAAGGCGAGGCCGAAAGGCGUAGUCGAUGGGAAACAGGUUAAUAUUCCUGUACUUGGUGUUACUGCGAAGGGGGGACGGAGAAGGCUAUGUUGGCCGGGCGACGGUUGUCCCGGUUUAAGCGUGUAGGCUGGUUUUCCAGGCAAAUCCGGAAAAUCAAGGCUGAGGCGUGAUGACGAGGCACUACGGUGCUGAAGCAACAAAUGCCCUGCUUCCAGGAAAAGCCUCUAAGCAUCAGGUAACAUCAAAUCGUACCCCAAACCGACACAGGUGGUCAGGUAGAGAAUACCAAGGCGCUUGAGAGAACUCGGGUGAAGGAACUAGGCAAAAUGGUGCCGUAACUUCGGGAGAAGGCACGCUGAUAUGUAGGUGAAGUCCCUUGCGGAUGGAGCUGAAAUCAGUCGAAGAUACCAGCUGGCUGCAACUGUUUAUUAAAAACACAGCACUGUGCAAACACGAAAGUGGACGUAUACGGUGUGACGCCUGCCCGGUGCCGGAAGGUUAAUUGAUGGGGUCAGCGCAAGCGAAGCUCUUGAUCGAAGCCCCGGUAAACGGCGGCCGUAACUAUAACGGUCCUAAGGUAGCGAAAUUCCUUGUCGGGUAAGUUCCGACCUGCACGAAUGGCGUAAUGAUGGCCAGGCUGUCUCCACCCGAGACUCAGUGAAAUUGAACUCGCUGUGAAGAUGCAGUGUACCCGCGGCAAGACGGAAAGACCCCGUGAACCUUUACUAUAGCUUGACACUGAACAUUGAGCCUUGAUGUGUAGGAUAGGUGGGAGGCUUGGAAGUGUGGACGCCAGUCUGCAUGGAGCCGACCUUGAAAUACCACCCUUUAAUGUUUGAUGUUCUAACGUUGACCCGUAAUCCGGGUUGCGGACAGUGUCUGGUGGGUAGUUUGACUGGGGCGGUCUCCUCCUAAAGAGUAACGGAGGAGCACGAAGGUUGGCUAAUCCUGGUCGGACAUCAGGAGGUUAGUGCAAUGGCAUAAGCCAGCUUGACUGCGAGCGUGACGGCGCGAGCAGGUGCGAAAGCAGGUCAUAGUGAUCCGGUGGUUCUGAAUGGAAGGGCCAUCGCUCAACGGAUAAAAGGUACUCCGGGGAUAACAGGCUGAUACCGCCCAAGAGUUCAUAUCGACGGCGGUGUUUGGCACCUCGAUGUCGGCUCAUCACAUCCUGGGGCUGAAGUAGGUCCCAAGGGUAUGGCUGUUCGCCAUUUAAAGUGGUACGCGAGCUGGGUUUAGAACGUCGUGAGACAGUUCGGUCCCUAUCUGCCGUGGGCGCUGGAGAACUGAGGGGGGCUGCUCCUAGUACGAGAGGACCGGAGUGGACGCAUCACUGGUGUUCGGGUUGUCAUGCCAAUGGCACUGCCCGGUAGCUAAAUGCGGAAGAGAUAAGUGCUGAAAGCAUCUAAGCACGAAACUUGCCCCGAGAUGAGUUCUCCCUGACUCCUUGAGAGUCCUGAAGGAACGUUGAAGACGACGACGUUGAUAGGCCGGGUGUGUAAGCGCAGCGAUGCGUUGAGCUAACCGGUACUAAUGAACCGUGAGGCUUAACCUUACAACGCCGAAGCUGUU